CAGCAAUACCCAUCAACUGCAAUUUGCAUUAGAUGAUGCUUGUAAGCUGCAAAAUAUUUGUAAAUCUAAAGUUGUCUUGGUUAGAUACAGUAACAGAAUUUCCCAAGAAGGCAUAACAAGAAAAAACCCAUUAUCAGCCAUAUAGAAGAUGAAAUCCUCAAAGAUGUGGAGUACCGGGGGUGAGGUUGCCUCGAUAUGGAUUUACGUUACAGGGUUGACUAACAAAUUACAUCUUUGAAUUCUAUUUUUAUUUAUUUUUUUCUUUAUUGUUUCUUUGCUCACUUCUCCUUUUAGAUCUCUUCUGUCUGUCAUGAAUUGAAGCAUGUCACAUUAAGCUAUAUGGAGUAUCAUACUAUCAUAACAUGUCUUUAGAAGUGGAAAUGCUACUUGAAGAACUGAUUCUAUGAAAAACUCAAAAUAUAAACAUGUGCUUGCUUUAUAAUUGGUAAGGCAAACUGGAUCAGCCUGGAUGUGAGCUGAUAUACUUGAACUUGAACGAAUUAGUGACUAAAAAGUUCAUGCUUUUGCAGUUAGAAGCCCCUGUAGCCAGAGUUUGUGGUCUGGACACCCCCUUCCCUCUUGUUUUUGAACCAUUCUAUAUGCCAACAAAGAACAAGAUAUUGGACGCUAUCAAAUCAACUGUCAAUUACUACGUGCACAUCGGACUGUCCACUGUCCUGCUUUAUUCUAAAGAUGCAUCAUGGUCAUUAUCACCGUUGUUGUCAUUUACAUGUACAAAUAAUCCUCACAUCUGGGCUAUCUAACGAAAAUAAACACAUCAGGAAGAAAUUUGAAGUGCACUGUCCAUUUUCAAUCUCUUCUAAA